rnacentral:rRNA from 1 species
UACGUAGGGUGCAAGCGUUAUCCGGAAUUAUUGGGCGUAAAGAGCUCGUAGGCGGUUUGUCGCGUCUGCCGUGAAAGUCCGGGGCUUAACCCCGGAUCUGCGGUGGGUACGGGCAGACUAGAGUGCAGUAGGGGAGACUGGAAUUCCUGGUGUAGCGGUGAAAUGCGCAGAUAUUCGGAAGAACACCGAUGGCGAAGGCAGGUCUCUGGGCAUUAACUGACGCUGAGGAGCGAAAGCAUGGGGAGCGAACAGG